rnacentral:lncRNA from 10 species
UAGUUAUCUAUCAUAUGGUUCUAAAUUACAUUUUCCUGAUGACUAAUAAUGUUGCACAUCUUUGUAUGUGCUUACCAGCUUCCAUAUGUCUUUUUAUUUUUUGAGAGUUCUCACUAUAUUUCCCAGGCUGAUCUGAAACUCCAGGGCUCAACCAACCCUCCUGCUUCAGUCUCCAGAGUAACUGGGAUUACAGGUACAUACCACCAUGCCCAGCUCAUAUAUUUUCUUUUGUGAAGUUAUGCUAAAAUCUUCUGCUUAUUUUUAAUUGGGUUGUUUCUCUUCUUAUGACUGAGUUUAUAUAUUAUGGAUAAAAUUCUUUGUCAGGUACACAGAUUAUUAAAAAUUACCUCCCAAUUCAUGGCUUACUUUUUGUUUUGCUUACGAAUGUCUUUGAAAAUCAAUGUUUUCAUUUUAAUAAGAUCCAAUUUAUCAUUUUUUUUAAGUUUUGCUAUUAGCCAUUUUGUCUUCUAUGAAAAUUUUGCCUACCCCAACGUCAUGAAGAUUUUCUCCUAUGCUUUUGUCUAGAUGUGUUAUAGUUACAUCAUUUAUAUUUAGUGCUAGGAUGCA